GUCAGUGAGGACUUUCUUUCCCUCCCAUUCAACUGACCUCAUUAUAUAUGAUGCAGCAGAACUUCAAAUCAAACUAUCAUGGUGAGGAGAAAGUGAGAAAUUAUAAGACCAAAGGUAACAGUGGAACCACUCUGGGAAAGAAGGCAAAACCGGAAGCAUGUGAAUCAGGAAGAGGAUAUGGCAUUUGUUUCUGGUCUGAGAGGGGAAGGAGGGCUGCAGAGAGCAUUCAGAGCUACAAGGUUCUGGAAAGCCUGCUGGCCAGGGAGCAGAGGUCAUAUUUACGAAAUGAAUGGAUAAGUCCAACUCUGGCUCUGAGCUGUGAACAUGGCUGCACACUGCAAAGGCACCCUCUUCUGCUGCUACUGGAUGGAGUUUGUAUCCAUGGCCACCGUGUCCAGGAAUUAAAGUAUUGUAGAUCUGGUUACGUAGGAAUGCCUCCAGUUCAUCUUUCUUUAUAGCAGUAUAGUACUACAUUGUAUAUAAAUACCACAUUUUCCUUAUCCAUUCAUCUGUUGAUAGGAUAUUUCUCAGAUCUAGCUAUUAUAAACUGUGCUCUUAUAAAAAUGUGUCUGUGUGUAUAUUAGUUUGUUGAAAAGAAA
rnacentral:lncRNA from 1 species